GACGAACGCUGGCGGCGUGCCUAAUACAUGCAAGUCGAACGCUGAAGAGAGGAGCUUACUCUUCUUGGAUGAGUUGCGAACGGGUGAGUAACGCGUAGGUAACCUGCCUUGUAGCGGGGGAUAACUAUUGGAAACGAUAGCUAAUACCGCAUAACAAUGGAUGACACAUGUCAUUUAUUUGAAAGGGGCAAUUGCUCCACUACAAGAUGGACCUGCGUUGUAUUAGCUAGUAGGUGAGGUAAUGGCUCACCUAGGCGACGAUACAUAGCCGACCUGAGAGGGUGAUCGGCCACACUGGGACUGAGACACGGCCCAGACUCCUACGGGAGGCAGCAGUAGGGAAUCUUCGGCAAUGGGGGCAACCCUGACCGAGCAACGCCGCGUGAGUGAAGAAGGUUUUCGGAUCGUAAAGCUCUGUUGUAAGUCAAGAACGGGUGUGAGAGUGGAAAGUUCACACUGUGACGGUAGCUUACCAGAAAGGGACGGCUAACUACGUG
rnacentral:rRNA from 1 species